rnacentral:rRNA from 1 species
AACGAACGCUGGCGGCAGGCCUAACACAUGCAAGUCGAGCGAGGACUUCGGUCCUAGCGGCGGACGGGUGAGUAACGCGUGGGAACGUGCCCUUUGCUUCGGAAUAGCCCUGGGAAACUGGGAGUAAUACCGGAUGAGCCCUUUGGGGAAAGAUUUAUCGGCGAAGGAUCGGCCCGCGUUGGAUUAGGUAGUUGGUGGGGUAAUGGCCUACCAAGCCGACGAUCCAUAGCUGGUUUGAGAGGAUGAUCAGCCACACUGGGACUGAGACACGGCCCAGACUCCUACGGGAGGCAGCAGUGGGGAAUAUUAGACAAUGGGGGAAACCCUGAUAUAGCCAUGCCGCGUGAGAGAUGAAGGCCUUAGGGUUGUAAAGCUCUUUCAGCUGGGAAGAUAAUGACGGUACCAGCAGAAGAAGCCCCGGCUAACUCCGUG